AGGUUAAUAUUCCUGUACUUGGUGUUACUGCGAAGGGGGGACGGAGAAGGCUAUGUUAGCCGGGCGACGGUUGUCCCGGUUUAAGCAUGUAGGCGGAGGUUCCAGGUAAAUCCGGUACCUUUUAACGCUGAGGUGUGAUGACGAGGCACUACAGUGCUGAAGUAACAAAUGCCCUGCUUCCAGGAAAAGCCUCUAAGCAUCAGGUAACAUUAAAUCGUACCCCAAACCGACACAGGUGGUCAGGUAGAGAAUACCAAGGCGCUUGAGAGAACUCGGGUGAAGGAACUAGGCAAAAUGGUGCCGUAACUUCGGGAGAAGGCACGCUGAUAUGUAGGUGAAGCCCCUGCGGGUGGAGCUGAAAUCAGUCGAAGAUACCAGCUGGCUGCAACUGUUUAUUAAAAACACAGCACUGUGCAAACACGAAAGUGGACGUAUACGGUGUGACGCCUGCCCGGUGCCGGAAGGUUAAUUGAUGGGGUUAUCCGUAAGGAGAAGCUCUUGAUCGAAGCCCCGGUAAACGGCGGCCGUAACUAUAACGGUCCUAAGGUAGCGAAAUUCCUUGUCGGGUAAGUUCCGACCUGCACGAAUGGCGUAAUGAUGGCCAGGCUGUCUCCACCCGAGACUCAGUGAAAUUGAACUCGCUGUGAAGAUGCAGUGUACCCGCGGCAAGACGGAAAGACCCCGUGAACCUUUACUAUAGCUUGACACUGAACAUUGAGCCUUGAUGUGUAGGAUAGGUGGGAGGCUUUGAAGCGUGGACGCCAGUCUGCGUGGAGCCAACCUUGAAAUACCACCCUUUAAUGUUUGAUGUUCUAACGUUGGCCCCUAAUCGGGGUUGCGGACAGUGUCUGGUGGGUAGUUUGACUGGGGCGGUCUCCUCCCAAAGAGUAACGGAGGAGCACGAAGGUUAGCUAAUCCUGGUCGGACAUCAGGAGGUUAGUGCAAUGGCAUAAGCUAGCUUGACUGCGAGCGUGACGGCGCGAGCAGGUGCGAAAGCAGGUCAUAGUGAUCCGGUGGUUCUGAAUGGAAGGGCCAUCGCUCAACGGAUAAAAGGUACUCCGGGGAUAACAGGCUGAUACCGCCCAAGAGUUCAUAUCGACGGCGGUGUUUGGCACCUCGAUGUCGGCUCAUCACAUCCUGGGGCUGAAGUAGGUCCCAAGGGUAUGGCUGUUCGCCAUUUAAAGUGGUACGCGAGCUGGGUUUAGAACGUCGUGAGACAGUUCGGUCCCUAUCUGCCGUGGGCGCUGGAGAAUUGAGGGGGGCUGCUCCUAGUACGAGAGGACCGGAGUGGACGCAUCACUGGUGUUCGGGUUGUCAUGCCAAUGGCAUUGCCCGGUAGCUAAAUGCGGAAGAGAUAAGUGCUGAAAGCAUCUAAGCACGAAACUUGCCCCGAGAUGAGUUCU
rnacentral:rRNA from 1 species